UCGAAUCGGGAUCCUCUUAAAAUCUCUAUGUUCAAAAGUUAAAGAUCGAAAAUCUGAACUGUUGAAAAUAGGGAUUCGAACUUUUAAUUUGAGUGAGAUGAAAAAGCCGUAAAAUUUAAAAUAAGUUGUCCGAAUUUCCAAAUCCAACAGCUCCGAACCCGAAAGAUCAGGAGAGAAGCUCGAUUCAACAGAAUGAAGGACCCAAAAGAGGGAGGAGUUGCAUGGUACCCCAUAGGCACAUAGAGAGUGACAGCAGCAAUGGCCUCAGCCUCACACAGAGUCACAGCAAUCUCCUCCUCCUUGGCUCUCAAUUCUUCUCAAUCAUUUCUCAGACCCUCAAGUCUCCCCCUCCAAAUCCCACCUCAAUCCAAGCCCACACAUCGCAAUCCCAUCCUCAAAUUUUCCACCACAAGAACCAGAGCAACCGUUGAUGGCGGCGAACAAAGCGCCACCGCCACAUCUCAGCUUGUCCAGGAACCACCACAGCCCACCAAAGAAGUGGAGGAGAGUGUGAAAUUGCUCAAAAAUUCCGCGAAAACAAGACGGGUUGAGAAGGAGGAGGUUCUGUCCGCUCUAUCCGUCAUUGAGAAGGGAAAGCUCGACCCUUCCGGGUUUCUUAACACGCUUAGAAUCCCCGGGGAGAACAUGGAUGCUCAUAUUUACUGCUGAGAAGGAAUUGAGGGGCGGUCGCUACCUCCCUAUUACCGCAGUUCAGCGAUUUGAUGCUGCUGGAAAGAGAAUUGAGAACGGGGUGUAUUUCGGGCCAUUUGGAUGCUUAACAUUUGAAGGAAGACUUUAAUGGAAGGAGAGAAUACUAGCCUUCGUCUUUUAGUCCAUCCGAAUAAACAUUGGACCUUUGAAAACCCUUGAGAUCGGUCUAGGCCAGAAAGACGACAGAAAGCCUAGCACGAAGGAUCCAUUCUUUAUAUGGUUUUACAUUGAUGAAGAACUAGCAGUUGGCCGAGGCAAACGUGGGGGAACUGCUUUCUGGUGCCGUUGUCGCCGUGUAGUGACUUAAUUUUUGUUUCAGUCAAAUAUAGAUGUUAGAUUCACCUUUAAGGAUCAUAUUAUACAUACACAUAUGUACAUAUAUCGGGAAAUAUCAAGGCUGCGUGAUGCUUUGUUUAUUGGACAGAUUAGAUUCACCUUUUAGGUGUUUCUUCCUUGACAUCAAAGCUCGUUAGCUUCUCUUUUUCGAUAUAUGUAUAGUUAAAUGUACAAACAUUCAUACAUGUACACACACACACACACACACACACACCUGGAGUGCAGUGUGAAUGUUGUUUGUUUACCUUCUCAUCGACAUACUUUGCCCAAUAUCGCGCCAUUGUUUUUUCGAAUGGAUCUUCUGGCAACAGUGGGUUCUCUCUCCAUGUUUCAUCACACAUUUUGAAGUCUGCAAAUUCUGAAAUUGAACCAAGUUUUCAAUCUUUUGAAGCAUUGGUCUGAAGGCGGGAUUUCGAAAAGCAUCACAUUUCUUGCAGAGAAAGUUAAUACAUAGACAAGAGGAAGACUCAUAACAGUAAUCAGAUCCGGAGGUGAAGAGAUUAAGCACGUCCUCAUGGUUUGUUGGCGGAUAUGGAACGAAUGUAAAUGAUGGCAUAUUGGACGUAGGCGACAAACGCUUC